UACGUAGGUGGCGAGCGUUGUCCGGAUUUACUGGGCGUAAAGAGCGCGCAGGCGGACUGAUCAGUCCGGGGUGAAAAUCUCACGGCUCAACUGUGAGUGGUCCCCUGGAUACUGUCAGUCUUGAGAUGUCUAGAGGAGAGCGGAAUUCCCGGUGUAGUGGUGGAAUGCGUAGAUAUCGGGAAGAACACCAGUGGCGAAAGCGGGCUCUCUGGGGACCAUCUGACGCUGAGGCGCGAAAGCGUGGGGAGCGAACCGGG
rnacentral:rRNA from 1 species